CCUACGGGAGGCAGCAGUGGGGAAUAUUGCGCAAUGGGCGAAAGCCUGACGCAGCGACGCCGCGUGAGGGAUGAAGGCCUUCGGGUUGUAAACCUCUUUCAGCAGGGACGAAGCGAAAGUGACGGUACCUGCAGAAGAAGCACCGGCCAACUACGUGCCAGCAGCCGCGGUAAUACGUAGGGUGCAAGCGUUGUCCGGAAUUAUUGGGCGUAAAGAGCUCGUAGGCGGUUUGUCGCGUCGGCUGUGAAAACUCGGGGCUCAACCCCGAGCCUGCAGUCGAUACGGGCAAACUAGAGUGUGGUAGGGGAGACUGGAAUUCCUGGUGUAGCGGUGAAAUGCGCAGAUAUCAGGAGGAACACCGGCGGCGAAGGCGGGUCUCUGGGCCAUAACUGACGCUGAGGAGCGAAAGCGUGGGGAGCGAACAGGAUUAGAUACCCUGGUAGUCCACGCCGUAAACGUUGGGCGCUAGGUGUCGGGGACCUUCCACGUCUUCGGUGCCGCAGCUACGCAUAGCGCCCGCCGUCGGGAGGUACGGCCGCGACGGACGUAAACCGUACGAAACGAGUAGUAAGGUCGUCGUUGAGUAGUUCGACGACGCGACGAGGAGGAGG
rnacentral:rRNA from 1 species